rnacentral:misc_RNA from 1 species
CUGAGCAAGGAAGAGGGGGGUCGGCACACGCCGUUUUUCAACGGCUACCGUCCGCAGUUUUACUUCCG